rnacentral:rRNA from 1 species
GACGGAGGGUGCAAGCGUUGUUCGGAUUGACUGGGCGUAAAGGGCGUGUAGGCGGUUUGUCAAGUCGGGUGUGAAAGCCCGGGGCUCAGCCCCGGAAGUGCAUCCGAAACUAGCGAGCUAGAGCGCGAUAGAGGAGGGUGGAAUUCCUGGUGUAGCGGUGAAAUGCGUAGAUAUCAGGAGGAACACCGGCGGCGAAGGCGGCCCUCUGGAUCGUUGCUGACGCUGAGGUGCGAAAGCUAGGGGAGCGAACGGG